CUGCUGCCUUCCGUAGGAGUCUGGGCCGUGUCUCAGUCCCAGUGUGGCCGUCCACCCUCUCAGGCCGGCUGCUGAUCGUCGCUUUGGUGGGCCGUUACCCCGCCAACUGGCUAAUCAGACGCGGGCCCAUCCUGUACACCGGAGUUUUCAAAGGAUUACCAUGCGGUAUUCCCUAUUAUGCGGUAUUAGCACCUAUUUCUAAGUGUUAUCCCCCGGUACAGGGCAGGUUGCCCACGCGUUACUCACCCGUCCGCCACUAAGACAG
rnacentral:rRNA from 1 species